ACACGUACCUUUAAUCACCCAAAUCACCAACAAUAUCUGUAUCAGUUCUUGGUGUAUUUGAAUUUAUGUUUGCUUUCUCGACUUCGAAGUUAUUUUUAAAGAAGAUAAAAUCUCAUAUUCUACUACAGUCGACAAAUAUGAUCUUCAGUAGUUACUUGCAGUAUGUACACGCUUAAGUCCAAAAAGUGAAAACUAAUCUUAUUUGAUGGUGAAGACUUAAUAGCCUGUUUGGAUAGGAAAACAGAAGCUACUUUUUGACUUCUGUAAGUUGAUAAGUCGAAAGUUAGGGUGGGAAGCGUUUUAUAGAUCGACUUAUAAAAGUCGAAAGACUUUUUUUUGCAGCCGAGAUUUUUGGCUUUCGAUUUCUGAAAGAAGCUGCUUCUACUCGUUAAUUGUGUCCUAAUUUUUCCUUCCUUUCACUUUCCUCGGUAUCUUCUUCCUUCCUCUUCUUCCCUUUCUUCAGAUUCAGAAUAGCCGUGAGAGAAGAACUACAAGCUCUGAAACAAGAACUAGGAUUAAUUAUGGCUUCAAGUUCAAUCCAAGAUGCAAUGCCUUCUUUUGAAGAAGCUAAAGAGGUUCCUGCCAGUUGUCUCUUGUUCAUGAAUCAUUUUUCAUAGAUCUGAUGAUAGUUAAGGUUCAAUCAAGUGGUGAAGAGAGGCAAUUGGGAGUAUUCUCAAAACAUGAUUGGACUGAGGUUUCAUGGAAGCAAUCAGGGAUCCACAAUCAAAGUUCCCCCACCCCCCACCCUCCCUGAAGACUCGGGAUACUCUAAUAUGUUGGGAUAUUUAGCUCCAUAUAGAGGACAGCGGUACCAUCUCAAUGAUUAUCAAGGAAUCGGGGUACCCUGUAGUGCAAGGGGAAAAUUUAACCAUGCACACUCGUCGUUGCGUAAUGUGAUUGAACGGUGUUUUGGUACUCAAAGCUCGCUUUCCUAUUUUGAAGAUGAUUCCGUCUUACAGCUUGCGUAAGCAAAGGAAUAUCGUUAUAGCUUCAUGCGCAAUACAUACAGAAGACGAUGUGACGUGGAUUCUUACCAAGAUGGGGUUCGCCUAGGCAUGUCCAUGUAUUACCGUCUUCCAUUAUGAAAAAUGUGUAUUAACUUUUGGAAUUUUAAACCAUCCCAUACUAGUACAAUUGCAAAACAAUUAUGCUUGGUUUUUAUGGAAUAUAAAAGUUUUCCUUUUUAAGGAUUACUGCAAUAAUACUGUUA